rnacentral:rRNA from 1 species
CAGCAGUAGGGAAUAUUGCUCAAUGGGCGAAAGCCUGAAGCAGCAACGCCGCGUGGAGGAUGACACUUUUCGGAGCGUAAACUCCUUUUCUUAGGGAAGAACAAUGACGGUACCUAAGGAAUAAGCACCGGCUAACUCCGUGCCAGCAGCCGCGGUAAUACGGAGGGUGCAAGCGUUACUCGGAAUCACUGGGCGUAAAGGACGCGUAGGCGGAUUAUCAAGUCUUUUGUGAAAUCUAAUGGCUUAACCAUUAAACUGCUUGAGAAACUGAUAAUCUAGAGUGAGGGAGAGGCAGAUGGAAUUGGUGGUGUAGGGGUAAAAUCCGUAGAGAUCACCAAGAAUACCCAUUGCGAAGGCGAUCUGCUAGAACUCAACUGACGCUAAUGCGUGAAAGCGUGGGGAGCAAACAGGAUUAGA